rnacentral:lncRNA from 1 species
GAACGGGGUUAAACAGACACACAGUGGUUGAACGGGGUUAAACAGACACACAGUGUGUGAACGGGGGUUAAACAGACACACAGUGGUUGAACGGGGGUUAAACAGACACACAGUGGUUGAACGGGGUUAAACAGACACACAGUGUGUGAACGGGGUUAAACAGACACACAGUGUGUGAACGGGGGUUAAACAGACACACAGUGUGAACUGGGGUUUAAACAGACACCAGUGUGUGAACGGGGUUAAACAGACACACAGUGUGUGAACGGGGUUAAACAGACACAGUGUGUGAACGGGGUUAAACACAGACACACAGUGUGUGAACGGGGUUAAACAGACAUACAGUGUGUGAACGGGGUUAAAACAGACACUACAGGGUGAACGGGGGUUAAACAACAACAGUGUGAACGGGGUUAAACAGACACACAGUGUGUGAAACGGUUAACAGACACACAGUGUGUGAACGGGGGUUAAACAGACACACAGUGUGUGAACGGGGGUUAAACAGACACACAGGUGUGAACGGGGUUAACAGACAUACAGUGUGUGAAACGGGGUUAAACAGACAUACAG